rnacentral:lncRNA from 1 species
UAAUUUCAAACAUGUCUAAGGCUAAAAUCCUUGCAGUUUUCAUGGGUUUUGUACUUUUGGGCUACCUUAGCAACCCUUUGGCUCAUGCUUCAAAUGCCAAUGAGCGAAAUGCUCUGCUAACCUCCAUCCCGAGUACCCGAGGGGCUCUUCACGUCUCGUUUGAAGAACCACUUGGUGGAUUGCCGCAUAGAAGAUUGUUGGAAUGUUGUGGAUGUCAGGGCAGAUCUUGUCUCCUUUGCUGCAAGACUAAAAAUUGAACCGUGUGAUAUUAAUCUUGUCUUUUGCAAUUUGUGUAGUGUUUUCAUCCAUCAAAUGUUGUGUCUGCUAAUGAAAAGUAUCA